rnacentral:rRNA from 1 species
AGACUCAGCGAAAUUGAAUUACCGGUCAAGAUGCCGGUUACCCGCGGUUAGACGGAAAGACCCCGUGCACCUUUACUACAACUUCACACUGGCAUUAGGCCGAACAUGUGCAGGAUAGGUGGUGGGCUUUGAAGCGUGGACGCCAGUCUGCGUGGAGCCUCCCUUGAGAUACCACCCUUGUUCUGCUUGAUGUCUAACCGCGGUCCGUUAUCCGGAUCCGGGACCCUGUGUGGUGGGUAGUUUGACUGGGGCGGUCUCCUCCCAAAGCGUAACGGAGGAGCACAAAGGUGGGCUAAG